UACGGAGGGGGCAAGCGUUAUUCGGAAUCAUUGGGCGUAAAGGGCGCGUAGGCGGCUUGGCAAGUCAAAGGUGAAAUCCCUCGGCCUAACCGAGGAACUGCCUUUGAAACUGCUUGGCUUGAGGCCGGGAGAGGGUAGCGGAAUUCCCAGUGUAGCGGUGAAAUGCGUAGAUAUUGGGAGGAACACCGGUGGCGAAGGCGGUUCUCUGGGCCUGUACUGACGCUGAGGAGCGAAAGCGUGGGGAGCGAACAGG
rnacentral:rRNA from 1 species